CAAGUCGAACGAGAACCCUUGGAUUCGUCUGGGGGGGAGAGUGGCGAACUGGUGGGUAACACGUGGGUGACCUGCCCCGAAGACGGGGAUAACCGUUGGAAACGACGGCUAAUACCCGAUAUACUCGGUGAUUCGGUUUAUCGAGUAAAGGCUCCGGUGCUUCGGGACGGGCCUGCGGCCUAUCAGCUAGUUGGUGGGGUAAUGGCCCACCAAGGCGAAGACGGGUAGGGGGCGUGAGAGCGCGGNCCCCCACACUGGCACUGAGAUACGGGCCAGACUUCUACGGAAGGCAGCAGUCGGGGAUAUUGCACAAUCGGCGAAAGCCGGAUGCAGCGACGCCGCGUGGGCGAUGAAGGCCUUCGGGUUGUAAAGCCCUUUUAUGGGGGAAGAGACAAGGACGGUACCCCAAGAAUAAGCGUCGGCUAACUACGUGCCAGCAGCCGCGGUAAAACGUAGGACGCAAGCGUUAUCCGGAUUUACUGGGCGUAAAGAGCGUUGAGGCGGUUCCGUAAGUUGGGCGUGAAAGCCCCGGGCUUAACCCGGGGAGGUCGUUCAAUACUGCGGGACUUGAGGGCAGCAGAGGGAGGCGGAAUUCCCGGUGUAGCGGUGACAUGCCGUAGAUAUCGGGAGGAAACACCAGUGGCAAAGCGCGCCCUCAUGGCCUGUUCUCUGACCCUGAAGCCGAAAGAUAGGGGACCGAACGGGAUUAGGAACCCCGUUAGUCCCUACCCGUAAACGAUGGAUCCUGGUUUUUGGGGGUUAUAGAUCCCCUCCGUGCCGAAGCUAACGCGUUAAGCAUCCCGCCUGGGGAUUACGCCCGCAAGGCUUUAAACUCAAACGAAUUGACGGGGGCCCGCACAAGUACCGGAGCGUGUGGUUUAAUUCGAUGCUACACGAAGAACCUUACCUGGGCUUGACAUGUAGGUAGUCGUGGAGGCGUAAGCGGAACGACCCUUCGGGGAGCAUACACAGGUGCUGCAUGCCUGUCGUCAGUUCGUCCCGUGAGGUGUCGGUUUAAGUCCCGUAACGAACGCAACCCUUGCCCUUAGUUACAUGUGUCUAAGGGGACUGCCCGGCACAACUGGGAGGAAGGUGGGGAUGACGUCAAGUCAGCAUGGCCUUUAUGUCCAGGGCUACACACACGCUA
rnacentral:rRNA from 1 species